UCAAAGCCCCGCCCGCCACCGUGUCGGACCCCCAGCCAGAGGAGAAACAGCUCGCCAGUCAUUAUCAAAAAGAAAGCGGGUGCCGCCCCAGGACCUCCACAUCUGGCUCAUGCUCAGAGUGAUGAAAUUAUAAUCGCAAAAUCAACAGAAGUUUAGCCCUGGAUUCCCUGCAGAAGAUUAUUGGCCAGUUGAAGCUGUUUGGUCCAGCUGGAGAGUUCCUGGUCGCCCUGCAGACAGACAGGCAACACAGUCAUGUGGCAACGCAAUCAUGAGGCACUAGGCAUUGUCUGGUCAAAAGGCCUGGUUUGCAUGUCAUUGCAACACAAUAAUACAAUGACAAUAGCACUGGCAAUAUUAACCCACAAAUAAUAGCCACAAUAUGUGACUUUGUUCUUUGAGCUUCAUCCCUGACCAUGUUUUUAUUUGAAUAUAGAACCAAGCAUCAGCUGCUAUCACAAUGCAUUCAACAUGUGAUGAAGAACAUAGUUUAUUUGACGUCCUGAGCACAAGUAGCCCAAAAUGGGAAUUGGUAUUAAUUUAUCAUCAACAACUACAAGAAAAAUGUUUCACCCUCAUGAAAAAAGAAGUUUUUUUUUCUUUACUGUGAUGAGUGAACUACUUAUGUUUUUAAUGCUUGACUGACUCAUGACUCUUGACACUGAUUCAUAUGUACUGACUAUAGUCAGAGAACACGUUCUUUGCAUAAUGCAUUUAGUAAUGAG